GAUGAACGCUGGCGGCGUGCCUAAUACAUGCAAGUCGAGCGAAUGGAUUAAGAGCUUGCUCUUAUGAAGUUAGCGGCGGACGGGUGAGUAACACGUGGGUAACCUGCCCAUAAGACUGGGAUAACUCCGGGAAACCGGGGCUAAUACCGGAUAACAUUUUGAACCGCAUGGUUCGAAAUUGGAAGGCGGCUUCGGCUGUCACCUAUGGAUGGACCCGCGUCGCAUUAGCUAGUUGGUGAGGUAACGGCUCACCAAGGCAACGAUGCGUAGCCGAUCAGAGAGGGUGAGCGGCCACACGGGGACGGAAACACGGCCAAGACGCCUACGGGAGGCAGCAGUAGGGAAUCUUCCGCAAUGGACGAAAGUCUGACGGAGCAACGCCGCGUGAGUGAUGAAGGCUUUCGGGUCGUAAAACUCUGUUGUUAGGGAAGAACAAGUGCUAGUUGAAUAAGCUGGCACCUUGACGGUACCUAACCAGAAAGCCACGGCUAACUACGUGCCAGCCGCCGCGGUAA
rnacentral:rRNA from 1 species